rnacentral:rRNA from 1 species
GACCAACUCUGGCGGCGUGCUUAACACAUGCAAGUCGAACGGAAAGGCCCUGCUUUUGUGGGGUGCUCGAGUGGCGAACGGGUGAGUAACACGUGAGUAACCUGCCCUUGACUUUGGGAUAACUUCAGGAAACUGGGGCUAAUACCGGAUAGGAGCUCCUGCUGCAUGGUGGGGGUUGGAAAGUUUCGGCGGUUGGGGAUGGACUCGCGGCUUAUCAGCUUGUUGGUGGGGUAGUGGCUUACCAAGGCUUUGACGGGUAGCCGGCCUGAGAGGGUGACCGGCCACAUUGGGACUGAGACACGGCCCAGACUCCUACGGGAGGCAGCAGCGGGGAAUAUUGCGCAAUGGGCGGAAGCCUGAUGCAGCAACGCCGCGUGCGGGAUGACGGCCUUCGGGUUGUAAACCGCUUUCGCCUGUGACGAAGCGUGAGUGACGGUAAUGGGUAAAGAAGCACCGGCUAACUACGUGCCAGCAGCCGCGGUGAUACGUAGGGUGCGAGCGUUGUCCGGAUUUAUUGGGCGUAAAGGGCUCGUAGGUGGUUGAUCGCGUCGGAAGUGUAAUCUUGGGGCUUAACCCUGAGCGUGCUUUCGAUACGGGUUGACUUGAGGAAGGUAGGGGAGAAUGGAAUUCCUGGUGGAGCGGUGGAAUGCGCAGAUACCAGGAGGAACACCAGUGGCGAAGGCGGUUCUCUGGGCCUUUCCUGACGCUGAGGAGCGAAAGCGUGGGGAGCGAACAGGCUUAGAUACCCUGGUAGUCCACGCUGUAAACGGUGGGUACUAGGUGUGGGGUCCAUUCCACGGGUUCCGUGCCGUAGCUAACGCUUUAAGUACCCCGCCUGGGGAGUACGGCCGCAAGGCUAAAACUCAAAGGAAUUGACGGGGCCCCGCACAAGCGGCGGAGCAUGCGGAUUAAUUCGAUGCAACGCGUAGAACCUUACCUGGGUUUGACAUGGAUCGGGAGUGCUCAGAGAUGGGUGUGCCUCUUUUGGGGUCGGUUCACAGGUGGUGCAUGCCUGUCGUCAGCUCGUGUCGUGAGAUGUUGGGUUAAGUCCCGCAACGAGCGCAACCCUUGUUCACUGUUGCCAGCACGUUAUGGUGGGGACUCAGUGGAGACCGCCGGGGUCAACUCGGAGGAAGGUGGGGAUGACGUCAAGUCCUCAUGCCCCUUAUGUCCAGGGCUUCACGCAUGCUACAAUGGCUGGUACAGAGAGUGGCGAGCCUGUGAGGGUGAGCGAAUCUCGGAAAGCCGGUCUCAGUUCGGAUUGGGGUCUGCGACUCGACCUCAUGAAGUCGGAGUCGCUAGUAAUCGCAGAUCAGCAACGCUGCGGUGAAUACGUUCCCGGGGCU